UUCAAAGAAAACUUAUACACACCAACGAAUUCCACACAACUGUUAAAUGGAUCUGUGAUAAUAAUUAUGUUAAGUGUAUGUUGACAGAUUCAAAUAUAGUUCGUUUGUGCCAAGAUAAUCGAUAUGAAAUGGAUUUGGCGUGGAGUUGCAGAAGUUUCUUCUAUCAUCAGGACUAUCGUCCAGAUCCAGCAUGUAAUUUGGGGGAGAUGAAGUCCGGAGACGAUUUGUAGCUUCGGCUGAAGUUGUCACUGUUGUGGGACUGUUCCCUGAUAGAGAAGCUUCUCUCCAAACUGUACCUCGAAGCUGUCCCACUGAGACUGGAAUUCAAAAACUACCAAUUUAAGGGAGACUCCUUCGUUUUCAAAAUGUAACUGGUAACUCCUUUGUUCUUAUUUAGCUUCCACUGUAGUCCUCAUUCUGUUGGCUGAGUUUCGCCUUCCGUUUCACUUCUUCUGUCAAACUUUCUUGUAGUUUGCUGUUUUCAUUCACCACGCUCCUAGUGGAUUAAUUGAAUUAAUUUUAUUAUCCACUAGUUAGGUCAAAACUUACUGUUCAAACUCUUGUUUUCUUUCGAGAUUUCAAUAAUAACAUUAAUUAAAAUAACUCCCUUGUAGGAACGUGGUGAACGAAAACAGCAAGCUACAAGAAAGCUUGUGAGGAGAAGGAGAGAAUCAGCUAAUAAAAUCGAAAAACUACAGUGGAAGCUAAAACAGAACAGAGAAGUCAUCAACAACAUUUUGAAAAUGAACGACGUCCUGAAGCCUCCUUCAUUUCCAAAAUGUUGUUGAUGACUUCCUUGUUCUGCUUUUUGUAAAUUACCCUUUAAUCUUUAAUUUAAAUAAAUAAAAUAGAGAUAAUAUUUUUAAA